GACGAACGCUGGCGGCGUGCUUAACACAUGCAAGUCGAACGAAGUGGCGAACGGGUGAGUAACGCGUAAUCAACCUGCCCUUCAGAGGGGGACAACAGUUGGAAACGACUGCUAAUACCGCAUACUGAAGGAGGGGAUUGCGUCUGAUUAGCUAGUUGGCGGGGGAACGGCCCACCAAGGCGAUGAUCAGUAGCCGGUAGGAGAGGAUGAACGGCCGCACUGGGACUGCGACACGGCCCAGACGCCUAGGGGAGGCAGCAGUGGGGAAUCGUCCGCAAUGGACGGAAGUCUGACGGAGCAACGGCGCGUGAGGGAGGACGGCCGUCGGGUUGGAAAGCUCUGUUAAUCGGGACGCGGUACCGGAAGAGAAAGCCACGGCUAACUACGUGCCAGCAGCCGCGGUAAUUC
rnacentral:rRNA from 1 species